rnacentral:rRNA from 1 species
UAUAGCAUUAUACAGCGAAACUGCGAAUGGCUCAUUAUAUAAGUUAUCGUUUAUUUGAUAGUGCCUUACUACUUGGAUAACCGUGGUAAUUCUAGAGCUAAUACAUGCUAAAAAUCCCGACUCCGGAAGGGAUGUAUUUAUUAGAUUAAAAACCAAUGCCCUCUGGGCUCCCUGGUGAUUCAUGAUAACUUCUCGAAUCGCACGGCCUUGCGCCGGCGAUGGUUCAUUCAAAUUUCUUCCCUAUCAACUUUCGAUGUUUGGGUAGUGGCCAAACAUGGUGGCAACGGGUAACGGAGGGUUAGGGCUCGACCCCGGAGAAGGAGCCUGAGAAACGGCUACUACAUCCAAGGAAGGCAGCAGGCGCGCAAAUUACCCAAUCCCGACACGGGGAGGUAGUGACAAUAAAUACUGAUACAGGGCUCUUUUGGGUCUUGUAAUUGGAAUGAGUACAAUUUAAAUCCCUUAACGAGGAACAAUUGGAGGGCAAGUCUGGUGCCAGCAGCCGCGGUAAUUCCAGCUCCAAUAGCGUAUAUUAAAGUUGUUGUGGUUAAAAAGCUCGUAGUUGAACCUUGGGCCUGGCUGGCCGGUCCGCCUCACCGCGUGUACUGGUCCGGCCGGGCCUUUCCCUCUGUGGAACCCCAUGCCCUUCACUGGGUGUGGCGGGGAAACAGGACUUUUACUUUGAAAAAAUUAGAGUGCUCCAGGCAGGCCUAUGCUCGAAUACAUUAGCAUGGAAUAAUGAAAUAGGACGCGCGGUUCUAUUUUGUUGGUUUCUAGGACCGCCGUAAUGAUUAAUAGGGACAGUCGGGGGCAUCAGUAUUCAAUUGUCAGAGGUGAAAUUCUUGGAUUUAUUGAAGACUAACUACUGCGAAAGCAUUUGCCAAGGAUGUUUUCAUUAAUCAGGAACGAAAGUUAGGGGAUCGAAGACGAUCAGAUACCGUCGUAGUCUUAACCAUAAACUAUGCCGACUAGGGAUCGGACGAUGUUAUUUUUUGACUCGUUCGGCACCUUACGAGAAAU